GUAAACCUGAAAACUAUCGUUGGAUAAAAAAAAUUGGCAUAUGAGAUUUGUUCACGUCAUCUUAAGUAAAACUUUUACUCCCGGUAAAACAUUCCCUCGUUGUUAAAUCCGGGAGUAAAAGUUUUACUUAGAGUAACGCGGACAAAUCUCAAACGUUUAUUUUGAUUUAACGGUAGUUUUCAUGUUAAA
rnacentral:pre_miRNA from 1 species